CUCUCUCUCCUCUCCUCCUCUCCUCUCAAUUCUCUCUGACUUCUCUCUAAAAUCUCUCCCUUCUCUCUAACCUUUCUCCUCUCUUCUCUCCUUCUCCCUCUCGUCCACUGCUGCCGUCGCGAGUCUUCCACUAAUUUUUUUUCCUCUCCUUCUCCUCUUUCUCUCCUUCUCCUCUUUCUCUUCGCCCUCCGUCAUCCACAAAUAGGAAGAAAGGUAAAGUUUAGAAAUCCUUUUUGGGGUUAUUUCUCUCUCGUUUAGCUCAGACUCGGGCUUGCAUGUCAUCACCGAAGGUUUCGGAGAGCCCUCAAGUGACAUGCAGGUCUCGAUCUGUAAACCUAGGGUUGGAAAAACCCUUUUUACUUCAUCGAUCUAACCUGCUCUGUUUUUUUCUUGGUUAGGGACGAUAAUCGAUGGUUACGGUGGAGAAACAGAAAUAGAGAAAAAGCAGCAUGGUGAAAAAGGAUCCAGCCCCUUGUUUAGGUUUGUUUCUUGAUUAGUUGUCUAAGGAAUCAUUUAACUUGAUUAUUGGGGUUAUAGUAUUCUAUAUGUUUUAAUUAAGUCAUAUUUUUCAAAAAAAACUUACUUUUUGCUAGUGUUAACAUUUCAGCAAUCUGUUUAGUCGAAAAAAAAUCGUGCGUUAACUCGAUUAUACUAUGAGUUUCGUGAUUUUUCAGACCCCUGGUGAAAUAUAAUUAUAGGUUUUCUGUUUAUCAUGAUUUCCAGCAACUUUUAAGUGAUUUUUAAAGCUUAUUUUAAGGGUUUGUUAGCUUUAUGAAUCGUUUACUUGAUUAGUCGCAAUGAACAUAAUAAUAUGUAUGUAUGUGUGAAUGUUAUGUGAAGGAACGUUUGAAUGAUUACCUUUGAAUCGAAGCUUCUUUUUUUCGUGUUUCAGGUGGCAGUCCCUUGCGAAUGACGACAAAGUGAAUGACGGCAGAAACUGUUGUACUUAGGUUUAGCUCGUGUUUUGUAACGUGCUGUAAUAAUUUUCUUUUCUUCUUUCUUUUGGACUUGGACUUGGGGUGCAGG
rnacentral:lncRNA from 1 species